rnacentral:rRNA from 1 species
AUUAUGGCUCAGAUUGAACGCUGGCGGCGUGCUUAACAUAUGCAAGUCGCGCGUGAAAGGACUUCGGUCCGAGUAAAGCGGCGCACGGGUGAGUAACGCGUGGAUGAUCUACCCAUGAGUUAGGAAUAACGGCUGGAAACGGUCGCUAAUACCAAAUACGCUCCGAUUUCAACUUCGGGGGGAAAGGUGGCCUCUGCUUGCAAGCUACUGCUCAUGGAUGAGUCCGCGUCCCAUUAGCUAGUUGGUGGGUAACGGCCCACCAAGGCGACGAUGGGUAGCCGGUCUGAGAGGAUGACCGGCCACACUGGGACUGGAACACGGCCCAGACUCCUACGGGAGGCAGCAGUGGGGAAUAUUGCGCAAUGGGCGAAAGCCUGACGCAGCGACGCCGCGUGAGGGAUGAAAGGUCCUCGGAUCGUAAACCUCUGUCAGGAGGGAAGAACCGCCACGGUGCUAAUCAGCCGUGGUCUGACGGUACCUCCAAAGGAAGCACCGGCUAACUCCGUGCCAGCAGCAGC